GAUGGCCAUCCUCACACAUUGCUGGCCAUGCACCUGGUCCACGACUCACUGGAGCUGGAGGAGCCGCUGGUCCCAUUGCUGCCCCGGGACAGUCAGACGGCCCAGAGGCUUCUCUCCUGGCCAACCGUGACCUGGAACAUAGAGCAAAGAGGAUGUGGGAGAUGUAAGUCCCGCUCAGAUGCACCGAGGCCGGGCAAGGUUCUCACACUUGGCAGUCGCCAGGGCCAGGCGGUGCGGUGAUGGGUGAAGAGGGACCGGCAGGGCUGUGAGGACCUCCAUCCAGGUAUACAUUUCAGGUAAUGAAAGGUGUUGAGGAGAAAGUAAAGCAGGUAAUAGGACCGAGAGCCUCGGGGCAGUGGAGGCAGGCCUUGGAGUCCCCAGCCUGUACCUUCCCUCAUGAAAGUUUACAGUCAGAGGGGACCAACUAGUAAAUAAUUGCAGAAAUCGAUGUAAAAGGACAAGUAUGAUGAACGCACAUUUUAACCAGAUUCCUAGGUGACCUCUUUGCUCAGUAGAGACUGAGAAGUGCUGUCCCAGGGUCUCCUUUAUGACCACUGUAUAUUCCUUCUUUUAAACAAACACUGCACGUUUUGUGGAGGCGGGUGAGGGAUUAUAUGGCGAUAGAAGACCUAGACAGUCAUCUUUGCAUGUCUUUUGGAGUCUGGGAGAAUUUCUGCCUGUUUAAGAAUUAGAGAGUCCAAGCCCAUCAAUGAGUUAAGGGUAUAUAGUUUACUUUGUAUAUAAAAGUUUUGAGUCACUGGAGAAAACCUUCACAAAUUACUUCUUCCGCCCUGAAGGAGGCAAUGUGUAGCCAAGCAGGCCUGAGACCCAAGCACAGGUUCUAGCAGACGUCAAACCAGACGAGGCUGCAGGCUUCCUAAGAAGCCCGUUAAGCUUAGGCUGGUAGCACGAGAUACCACCGUGUGGUUUGGGGCAUUCUUAUUUUGAAUUUCCUUUGUGGUUUAGAACUUGAAUUUCAGCUUCCUGGUAUUAGGGUGUGAUGAAAUCAUAAAGAACACCUAGACUCACAGUAAGAAACCAUGACCAAGGGCUGCAAUUCCUCAUUCAUCAUUAUGCAAUCCAUGAAGUCUGUUUGUAGCGUCUCUCCAUAGAUUUCAACUAUGACUCAUCAAAGACUAAAUCAGCCCAUUUUAUAAACAUUCUGUCUCUCUAUAGCCCAAUGCUUUCAGAUAUCCUGAAUCAUAUCAGCAUACUGGUCAUUAGAAGGGAGACCUGUAGCAGUUCACAGAUUACAGAUAUGAUUACAAAGCCAAAGUCCAGAACUGGAAAAGAAGAUUACAAAAUUAACCUCUGUGUCCCAGGCUCACUUCUAAAGCAUGGCACAUUUUAUAAGAUGUCAGUCUCCCAGAACCUGGCACACAGCCAGCUUACAGAAUGCUUACCGAAUACAAUAUUCCUGCAAGACUUUUACAAUAAAUCCAAGCUUAGAAUGUAUCAAAUUUAAAGUACCAUAAAAGAUGGUGUUUUCUCUCGAUGAACAGGGCGGUGAACAUGUAUUUUUCCAUUCACAUUAUCUUCUUCUAAAGACAAACCAAUCUCUGGAUAUUUAUCUACACCAGGUCCAAUGAUUAUACUAAUUCCAUGCCGGCAGACAAAUUAUUGAACAGCUGGAAGGAGAAAAAAUAAGGGAAAAAUGAGGGCGAGAAUAAGCCACUACGCCUAUCAAAUAUCUAGGCUAAGAUUCAAAGGCAUUUGUAAAGAACCAUACCCAGCAAUUACAGAUCUGAGAAUUUACCCUGAAGAAAUAAACAGAUAGGUAGAGAUGGAGGAACAAGGGGUAUAGCAGCAGUUUGGUUUGUAAUCGUGAAAAGUUGGAAACAACAUAAAUGUCCAUCCCUAUGGAAAUAAUCGUGUAGUGGUUCUCCCCUCCCGUGGCAUGGGGCUCUGCAGCUUUUCAGGAUUUAUAUUCCCUGCCCCAGAAUGAGGGCUGUGACACAUGGUAAAACAAGAAAGGCCACCAGCGGGACAGUAUACUCAGUGUGAUCCCAUUUUGUUAAUACAGAUUCAUAGUAGUGACUGUGCAAAGAAACAUCUGAAAGGAUACAUACCAAGUUGUCCAUACUGAUUAUCCCUCCAAAGAAGAGAAAUAAUCAUACAGCUAACUUUACAAAUUGCUUAGAAGGAGCCAGCUUAUAUAUUGCCUUACUUGCACUAACCUGCUUAAUCUUUUUUUGUUUGUUUGUUUUCUGAUAUGCAGGCCUCUCACUGCUGUGGCCUCUCCCGUUGCGGAGCACAGGGUCUGGACGCGCAGGCUCAGCGGCCAUGGCUCACGUGCCCAGCCGCUGCGCAGCAUGUGGGAUCUUCCCGGACCAGGACACGAACCUGUAUCCCUUGCAUCGGGAGGCGGACUCUCAACCACUGCGCCACCAGGGGAGCCCUGCUUAAUCUUCUAACAACCCUAUAAUGAAGAAUGAAAUAUGUCAACAUUUGGAAGAUCUUCGUUGCUCCGAGAGCUGAGUUUCCUACUGAUUAAGACAUCACGGUCCAAAAUCAUGCACAGGUGAACAUGGGCUACUGAAACAGGAUUCUACCAGAACACACAACUCCUCAUGGCAAAAAGUAACCAAGAGGGCUUCCCUGGUGGUGCAGUGGUUAAGAAUCCACCUGCCAAUGCAGGGGACCAAGGUUCAAGCCCUGGUCCGGGAAGAUCCCACAUGCUGCAGAGCAACUAAGCCCCUGUGCCACAACUACUGAGCCCCUGCGCCACAACUACUGAGCCCGUGCGCCUAGAGCCCGUGCUCCUCAACAAGAGAAGCCACCACAAUGAGAAGCUCGCACACUGCAACGAAGAGUAGCCCCCGCUCGCCACAACUAGAAAGCCCGCACGCAGCAAUGAGACCCAACACAGCCCAAAAGCAAAUAAAAUAAAUUUAUAAAAAAAGGUUCUUCCAUGUUAAAAAGUAGCCAAGAAAGUCCUCCGAACACCAAGCAAAGGGUGCCAAAUGAGGCAUCAAAUUUCAGAAGCAGAGCUGGCUAGAGGACUGGGAACUUUUUGUUUGCUCCUUUGUUUACUGUUAUACCCCAGUGGCUAUGAAAGCACCUGGCUCAGAACGAGUAGCCAAUCAGUAGUAGCAGCCCCGGCCCUGAGUAAACGGAGCAACCAUUUCACCAGGGCUGCGAAAACAAAGAUGCAUAUUUUCUGUAUUACCUCAUUGACUCCCACAGAAAAGUACAAGCAUUAGCUCCAAUUUCAGGUGGAGGAAAUGAGGCUGAAUAAGGUGAAGUUAAAACCUUUAAAAACCGGAUGCCCAGGCCACACCCCACUAACCCAGCGCAGGCCCAGCAUCUUGACCCCCGCCCACUGCAGGGCCUCCUGCCUCUGCCCUCCGCGGGUUUAUAAGGAGGAACUCAGCAGCAACGCGAGAGUCUCACGGCUCUCCCUCCCGCUCUGAGGAAAGUGACUAAGCAGGUCGUGACCCACAAGCAUAUGCAGCAGCGUUAACUCCGUCCACUGGAAAAGCAUGUUUCAUGGGAGGUUUCUACUGGCCCAGGAAGUGGUGAGUAGAGUCAUUAACUGAGAAUAAAGAAGCAGUAGUUCACAACGUUCUGAAAAGAGACACCAACAGUUAGGACCAGACACCUCAGCGUUCCCCCAAAUGGCAGGACUGACCCUGUGGCCCACAACCUGCACCACAGCCCAGUCUCCUGGUCCCAGCCCACCCACUGGUGAGGAGUCCAGGGGGGCGGGUGUCAGCUGGCUUCCUUGGGCCUCAUUUGCAGUGAGAGCUGAUCCCACCUUCCCUGCUGCAGAUGGAUGGGCUGCUUUCUUUCCACUUCAGGAAAUCAGUGAGUUGGAUUUUUCCUGUGAAUGGGACGGGAGCUUCCUGAGAAUCACUGGUCAAGCACGAGGGUCGCUGCAAGCCGAGGCCCUGGCGUCCCAUCCUGGCUUAGAAUUCUGCUCAGACAGUGGCUGGCUGGCCGAGCCCUGUGCCCAGCUGAGUUGAAGGGCCUUGUGGUGGCCAGCAGGACUCAGAGAAGGAUAACAGAAAAGUGCCCAUCACUUCCUCCAUUGAGUGUGGCGAGGAAACCGAAUUUCUCCUGUUGGUCAAGUCAACAUCAAAGAAGGGAAAUGGUCGGGUAUGAGCCUUCUUCCUGCCCCCGCAGUGGGAUGCUGCUGGUCGGGAGGGGGGGAUACCUCCUAUGCAUAGAGGAGUCCAGAGUCGGACAUUUGGACGCUUUCUCCACGGAGGUGAGACAACCUAAGCGACCACCUGGAAACAGAAGAAGGAGGGAAGGAAGGUGUCCCAGUGGGACCCACAGCCAUGCCCUACUGUGCUGGUGGGAGCUAGAGAGAAGAGGGGAGAGUCUGUUUCUUCAUAGUCAUGGGAAAAGCUUAACUUCUGAGAACAGUCUCCAAGAGACAAAACAGAAGACAACCCAAGGAAGGGCAGUGCUUCCAGAAAUGGGGAAGUGGUUCCCACAAGCCCAGCCCUGCCUUAUAGAAUGAUCACCUUUCAACAAAACAUAAAACAACAAC